UCCCUGGUGGCCUAGUGGGUUAAGGAUCCAGCAUUUUCACUGCUGUGGCUCAUGUCACUGCUAUGGUGAGGGUUCAAUUCCUGCCCUAGGAA
rfam:Sus scrofa chromosome X.